GGAGGCGUGGCAGAGUGGUUAAAUGCACCGGUCUUGAAAACCGACGUGGGUGAAAGUCCACCGUGGGUUCUGAAUCCCACCGCCUCCGCCA
rnacentral:tRNA from 1 species